CCUGAAAAAAAUUGAAGAGUAACAGAAGACGAUCUGAUGAAUGGAUACACAAAAGCAGAGAACUGGCUCCCAUGGUUUAUGUUUUUAAAAAACUUUUAACUGACAAGGACCAGACCAAGACAAUAUUUAGCUGUCAAAACAAGGGAGAAAUUGUAUGGCUAUCUUCUGGGACAGCUGAUAAAGCCAGAAAAAUGGACCCUCUGAUGAGCUAUGUGUCUAUUAUAAUAAGCAGCUUUAUUCAUGAAACCAAACUGCAUCAGGAGGGCCAAGAGAAAUGUGCCAACUGAUAGACAUCAGCUGAACAUGGACUUUCUUUAUAAUAAAAUCCAGCGACUGAAUGAACUAGUUCCCUUGCCAAAAUAGAAAAUACAAAUAGUAAUGCCCUGGACAACAUAAAAGGGUAGGUGUUGACAAAAUUUAUUACAUAGAAAAAGUGAUUUAUUUACUAUUUUGAGUUUGAAAACCCCAGUCUCAAUACAAUUUUAAAUAUUCAGGGGCACUGGGGUGGCUCAGUCAGUUAAGUGUCUGACUCUUGAUUUCGGCUCAGGUCAUGAUCUUGAGGUUGUGGGUUUGAGCCCCACAUUGGGCUCUGCACUGACAAUGUGGAACCUGCUUGGGAUUCUCUCUCUCUCUCUCUCUCUCUCUCUCUCUCUCUCUCUCUCUCUCUCUCUCUGUCUCUCCCCCCUUUCUCUGCCCCUCCCCCAUGCUCUCUCUCUCUUUCCCAAAAUAAAUAAAUAAAACUUAAAAAAAUAUAUUUAAAACUGCCAGUGCUAACAACAGUUCAUAAGGAGUGAAGUAGAAGUGAAUAAUUUGCAGAGACUUAGGACUUCCCUUGUUAAAAUUGAGAAGAGAGGAAAAAUACAACAGUGGGCUUAAAAUGCAAAUACUGACACUACUUUUUUUCUUUUCAUAGUACUUUUUAUUUUAGAUAAAAAUGGCAACACAACUAUCAGUCUACUUAAACCAGGUAUAUUAAAUCCUUUCCUCUCAGUAACCUUGUACUUUUGCUCGUUUCUAUAAAACAGAAAUAUUAUUAACAGUUACACACUGAAAGAGAUAACAGGGUAUCAAUAAUUACUCUCCAUAUUGAAACAGAAACACAUUUUAAUCUCCCUAGUUACUGGCAGUUCCCCCCAAAUUAUUGCCACACUUUUUUUUUUUUUUUUAAGUAAAACAUCACUGAACUGGGAUCAACUAUUUUCACUAUGUUAAUGCUGCACCACUAAUACAAAAUCUAGGUUUUUAUUUCACUUUUAAAAAGAUACCAUCCUGUGUGCAAACAGUAAUUACUUCCAGCUUCGCUGCUUGUCUCUCCUUUUCCCCAGCGCGUGCUCUCCCCCCUUCACCUCUGUCCCAGCCGCCCUUCCUCCCCCAUCCUUUAGCCUAUGUCACAAAUGCCUCCAUUUCCAACAGCGUCCCCUAUUCCCCCGUUCCCACCCAUACCUCCCCACAAAUGAUCUUCUAAGCUAUGAACAUCCAACAAAACCCGAUUUGUGCCACUUUUGGUACUCCUUACGUAGCACCUUUCACCAUGAGCACUUUAAUAAAUUUGUAGUUUCUACCAGA